GAUGAACGCUGACAGAAUGCUUAACACAUGCAAGUCUACUUGAACUUCGGUUUGGGUGGCGGACGGGUGAGUAACGCGUAAAGAACUUACCUCACAGUUAGGGACAACAUUUGGAAACGAAUGCUAAUACCUGAUAUUAUGAUUUUAGGGCAUCCUAAGAUUAUGAAAGCUAUAUGCGCUGUGAGAGAGCUUUGCGUCCCAUUAGCUAGUUGGAGAGGUAACGGCUCACCAAGGCGAUGAUGGGUAGCCGGCCUGAGAGGGUGAACGGCCACAAGGGGACUGAGACACGGCCCUUACUCCUACGGGAGGCAGCAGUGGGGAAUAUUGGACAAUGGACCAAAAGUCUGAUCCAGCAAUUCUGUGUGCAAGAUGACGUUUUUCGGAAUGGAAAGUGCUUUCAGUUGGGAAAAAAAAAAUGACGGUACCAGCAGAAGAAGUGACGGCUAAAUACGUG
rnacentral:rRNA from 1 species